ACACCGUUUUACAAAUUGCUAGCAUUUUAAGUGAUAAAAUACUUACGCCAGUCACUAGUGAGAAUUUUACGAGGGAGCUGGACAACAGAGAAGAAUAAAUUAGGUGGUAGAUU